rnacentral:lncRNA from 1 species
CGCCUCCACCUCUUCCCGAUCUCCUCCUCCCCGAGCCCGGCGCACCGAGCCGGCCGUGCCACCGAGCUGCGGCUCUGGCCCCGGCGCCGCGGGUGCGCUGCGGAUGGGCUUGGGGCGCACCCAGCGAGCAGCGAGAGUCGCGGUGUCCCGGGCGCUCGCUGGCACCGUGGCCGCAGCGGCCGGCCUGGGAGCCAGGAGGGCGAGGCGGCUGCACCUUCGGGGCCAGAUUGGAGUUCGAAGAGUGGCGGGUACCCCAGAAGCUCGGGGCCGGGGCGAUGGCUGCAGCCUCGGGAGGGUAUCGCCGGAUCGAACUCCGGGAAAGGGAAGCAAAGGCAUGGAACCUCCGCACACUGGAUGAGAAUCCAUCUUCCAUUCGAGCUGGGAAUAGACUUUGUGAAAGAUAUUAUGUAAUGGAGUCUCGGGAACCCUGAGACCUCUCCAGCGAAGCUGAAGUGAAUUAAUUAAGUGCUUUAAACGGUCUUGGUGCUGUGUUACGGGAGAGAGUGACUGGAAAGUAACAAAGCUGAAUCUUUCUCCCUGGAGUAAGGCCGAAGACUGGAUUACUACACGCCUAGACGUGACACUACACCCAUAGAUCUCAUGCAUCAUUAAUGCCAUAUGACAUUGCCAUUUUCUUUCUCAGUUCACGGACAAAAGUGGUGGGUUUUCAUUGUCUUCACUGAUUGUCAAUGCAUUAAUAAAGAAGAUGUGUGGUAAAAAAAAAAAAAAAAAA